UACGAAGGGGGCUAGCGUUGCUCGGAAUCACUGGGCGUAAAGGGUGCGUAGGCGGGUCUUUAAGUCAGGGGUGAAAUCCUGGAGCUCAACUCCAGAACUGCCUUUGAUACUGAAGAUCUUGAGUUCGGGAGAGGUGAGUGGAACUGCGAGUGUAGAGGUGAAAUUCGUAGAUAUUCGCAAGAACACCAGUGGCGAAGGCGGCUCACUGGCCCGGUACUGACGCUGAGGUGCGAAGGCGCGGGGAGCGAACGGG
rnacentral:rRNA from 1 species